rnacentral:rRNA from 1 species
UAUCGGAUUGAUACUAAGCCAUGCGAGUCAUUGUAGCAAUACAAGGCAUACGGCUCAGUAACGCGUAGUCAACCUAACCUAUGGACGGGAAUAACCUCGGGAAACUGAGAAUAAUGCCCGAUAGAACAUUAUGCCUGGAAUGGUUUAUGUUCCAAAUGAUUUAUCGCCGUAGGAUGGGACUGCGGCCUAUCAGUUUGUUGGUGAGGUAAUGGCCCACCAAGACUAUUACAGGUACGGGCUCUGAGAGGAGUAGCCCGGAGAUGGGUACUGAGACACGGACCCAGGCCCUAUGGGGCGCAGCAGGCGAGAAAACUUUGCAAUGUGCGAAAGCACGACAAGGUUAAUCCGAGUGGUUUCUGCUAAAGGAACCUUUUGUCAGUCCUAGAAACACUGAUGAAUAAGGGGUGGGCAAGUUCUGGUGUCAGCCGCCGCGGUAAAACCAGCACCUCAAGUGGUCAGGAUGAUUAUUGGGCCUAAAGCAUCCGUAGCCGGCUCUGUAAGUUUUCGGUUAAAUCUGUACGCUCAACGUACAGGCUGCCGGGAAUACUGCAGAGCUAGGGAGUGGGAGAGGUAGACGGUACUCGGUAGGAAGGGGUAAAAUCCUUUGAUCUAUUGAUGACCACCUGUGGCGAAGGCGGUCUACCAGAACACGUCCGACGGUGAGGGAUGAAAGCUGGGGGAGCAAACCGGAUUAGAUACCCGGGUAGUCCCAGCUGUAAACCAUGCAAACUCAGUGAUGCAUUGGCUUGUGGCCAAUGCAGUGCUGCAGGGAAGCCGUUAAGUUUGCCGCCUGGGAAGUACGUACGCAAGUAUGAAACUUAAAGGAAUUGGCGGGGGAGCACCACAAGGGGUGAAGCCUGCGGUUCAAUUGGAUUC